GAUGAACGCUGGCGGCGUGCCUAAUACAUGCAAGUCGAGCGAACAGAUGAGGAGCUUGCUCCUCUGACGUUAGCGGCGGACGGGUGAGUAACACGUGGAUAACCUACCUAUAAGACUGGGAUAACUACGGGAAACCGGAGCUAAUACCGGAUAAUAUAUUGAACCGCAUGGUUCAAUAGUGAAAGACGGUUUUGCUGUCACUUAUAGAUGGAUCCGCGCCGCAUUAGCUAGUUGGUAAGGUAACGGCUUACCAAGGCAACGAUGCGUAGCCGACCUGAGAGGGUGAUCGGCCACACUGGAACUGAGACACGGUCCAGACUCCUACGGGAGGCAGCAGAAGGGAAUCUUCCGCAAUGGGCGAAAGCCUGACGGAGCAACGCCGCGUGAGUGAUGAAGGUCUUCGGAUCGUAAAACUCUGUUAUUAGGGAAGAACAAAUGUGUAAGUAACUAUGCACGUCUUGACGGUACCUAAUCAGAAAGCCACGGCUAACUACGUG
rnacentral:rRNA from 1 species